AUUGAACGCUGGCGGCAUGCUUUACACAUGCAAGUCGAACGGUAACAGGCCGCAAGGUGCUGACGAGUGGCGAACGGGUGAGUAAUGCAUCGGAACGUGCCCAGUCGUGGGGGAUAACGCAGCGAAAGCUGCGCUAAUACCGCAUACGAUCUAUGGAUAAAAGCGGGGGACCGUAAGGCCUCGCGCGAUUAGAGCGGCCGAUGUCAGAUUAGGUAGUUGGUGGGGUAAAGGCUCACCAAGCCGACGAUCUGUAGCUGGUCUGAGAGGACGACCAGCCACACUGGGACUGAGACACGGCCCAGACUCCUACGGGAGGCAGCAGUGGGGAAUUUUGGGCAAUGGGCGCAAGCCUGAUCCAGCGAUGCCGCGUGCAGGAAGAAGGCCUUCGGGUUGUAAACUGCUUUUGUACGGAACGAAACGGUCCUGGUUAAUACCCGGGGCUAGUGACGGUACCGUAAGAAUAAGCACCGGCUAACUACGUGCCAGCAGCCGCCGUAAUAC
rnacentral:rRNA from 1 species